GUGAAUAAGGCCCAACAUACUGAUGGAACAUUUCCAGGUCUCAGUGUCAAAAGAUUGGAUGGCCCUGAUAGCAGGUAAGCAGCUCUGACAUCUGACCCACUGCCAUGAAGUUCUGCCUCAACACUGGCCCAGAACUAACAGAACUGAGGGUUAUGGACUGAAGACUCUGAAACCACAAACCAAAAUAAAUAACCUCUCUAU